AGACUAGACGGUCUAGUCUAUGAUGAGGAGCGUCUAGACUCAAAAAGGAGCGUCUAGCCCAUGAAGAGGAGCGUCUAGGCCAUGAUGAGGAGCGGCUACAUAAGGAGCGUCUAGGCCAUGAUGAGGAUUCCUUCUAGACCGUCUAGCUUCACAUACACAUGGGUCAAAGCUACGAUUUUGGGAAGAGAAGACCUUUGUAAUUGUUACAUAAAGGCCCAUUAGGGGUGCUUAGUAAUUAGAGUGGUGUAGAAAGCAUAUUUGUGAACAUUCUAGAAAGACCAUGGAGGGGGGUGAGCAUAAAAACUAGACACACCCCUCCCCAUGUGCUCAUUUGUGCACCCAUGUGCCAUGUGCACCCAUGUGCUUCACUUUUACAUUUCAUUUGGUUAGCAUUAGGGUUGCAUUAUGGUCCUCCUUAGCCUAUAAAAGGAGGAGCCUACACCUUGUAUUUUCAAGUUUAAUUGAGUAUUGUUAUGCUGCCAUUUUUGUGCACUAGCUUUACUUCUCCUAGAAAUCUAGGCUAUAAACUUCAAUCCUUUCACCUUUCUCCCUUGAGCUGGCCGAACCACUCAAACACCACACUCAUCAUGCACCUUCAAAGCCAACACAACUCCUAGGAGGGCUUUGUUUCACUCACCCAUUGCUUCCGCAUCACUUUUUACUACUUUGAUUCAAGAAGAACACAUGAAAUG
rnacentral:lncRNA from 1 species